GUUACAUAUGGAGCAGGGACUUUAUUGCUAAAUUUAUAACACGGCAGAAGGCAGAUCAGAGCUCAUGCUCAGUGAAGACUGAGACAUCCUACAGGAAAAAGAAGGGGGGUUGAAGCUACAAUAUAAAUGACAAAAGAAACAAGAAGAGGCUGAACCUGAGGAUAUUUAGAUCCUUCCUAAUAUCUGGGGAUCCUAUUACAUUAAAUAAUAU
rnacentral:lncRNA from 1 species